UACGUAGGUGGCAAGCGUUGUCCGGAUUUACUGGGCGUAAAGAGCGCGCAGGCGGUCGUUCAAGUCGCGUGUGAAAGCCCCCCGGCUCAACUGGGGAGGGUCACGCGAUACUGAUCGACUCGAAGGCAGGAGAGGGUAGUGGAAUUCCCGGUGUAGUGGUGAAAUGCGUAGAUAUCGGGGAGGAACACCAGUGGCGAAGGCGAUUCUCUGGGACGGUACUGACGCUGAGGAGCGAAAGCGUGGGGAGCGAACAGG
rnacentral:rRNA from 1 species